UUUACCUCCAACCCCUAUUUCUUAUACUCCUCUAUCAGCUUCCUUGCCAUAUAUUCAAGGUCGUCGUGAUCUUGGGCUAGGACUAUCUGGUCGUCCGCAAAAAAUAGGGUGUCCUCAUUUAUUAGGGGGAUUCCCAUUCCUCUACACUUAAGCAUCCAUUUUUUUAGUGCUUGUUGCAGGUAUAUUUUGAAUAGUAUAGGACAUAGGCAACAUCCCUGCUUGAGGCCUUUUGUAAUUUUUAUGCUUUCUGACAAUGAGUCUCGGUAUUUUUAUUCUAGCUGUGGUGUUCUGGUAUAAGUUCUUAACUGCUUUAAGUAGGUUGACAUUUAUAUUAGUUAUUUCCAACGUUUCCCACAAUUUAUUUAAUGGUAUGCUGUCGUAAGCCUUUUGGAGGUCUAUAUAUAGUAAGUGUACCUUUUUUUUCUCUAAGACCUGUGUUCCACAGUAGACCUUCCCGCUCUAAAACCCGCCUGUUCUUCUAUUUCUAUCUCUUUAUAUUCGUUUUCUAUUUUAUUCUUUGGUAUCUUUCCAUAUAUUGUACUUAAUGUACUUGUCACUGCCAAGCCUCUAUAGUUUGCACAGUCUUCUCGAUUUCCUUUUUUAAAAAUCUUCGUGAUAUUGUGGUGAUAUAUGAGAUUUUAAGAUCUUUUGGUACUUCUGCGCCAUCUAUACACAUCUGGAAGAGUUUUGUUAUAUGUCGGUACAGAUUUUCCGUCCCAUAUUUUAUCAGUUCUCCUGGUAUGUCUCCCGGGUCUGCGGAUUUACCAUUUUUUAAAUUUUUACAUGUCUCCCUUACUUCUUUAGUUGUUAUUCUGAGGUUAGUCCCUUACUUCUUUAGUUGUUAUUCUGAACAACAACACGUACAAAUAUUUAAUAAAGAAAAAGACCUUGAUAGUAUCGUCGAUAUUUUUAACAACGCAAAGUCAACACCUGAAGAAAUUGAAAAAGCUGGAGAGACGUUUAUACUGAAACUAUACAAACUUCAAUCAUCUCAAGGGAGCCUUAGUGAGCAAAGAUACGCUUGUUGAAACUAAGAUACGCUUGUUAAAUAACUUAUUGAAAGUUAGUUGGUCGAGCAAACAGCACGGUACUUUUAUCAAAAUUGCCUCCCACAUCUACUGCAGCUAGGCAACAUUCCCGGAGAACAUAUCUUCAAGUACAAAUAUGGCAAGAACAACCUAUAAAACUCGACCAGUGGGGCUGGAAGAAAAUCAACAACACACUGUCACCUUUAUAUACAACCGAAUCGCCCGCCCCUGCUUCAGUUUUGUCAUUAAUAACGUCCAACUGCAAACAAUAUUGUGUAAAAAGAUGCAGUUGCAUUAAAGCCGGCAUGAAAUGUACAACUAUGUGCGGAACCUGUCGUGGGCAAAGUUGUUCGAAUACUGAGCACAUUCUAGAAACUAUAGACGAUGACAAUAUGUAGAUGAAAGUAUGAAUGUUAGUUUAGUGGAAUAGGCAAUGUUUUUGUUUAUAUUAUACAGUAUUAUAUCUGUUGCGUGUAUAUUUAGCACGUUAAAAUAUCUUGGGAGACUAUAGUUACUUUAAUGUUAGUAUAAUUUGAAAGGCGACCUGUAUUUUUUUUGUACUCCACUUUUCAAACGGUUAUUGCUCGAAAUGCAAUACCUCAGUAAUCUAAUAAGUGCGAAAGCUGAUCACACUAAAUCUUACUGUGAUGCCCUUAAAGCUGACCUUGAGUCCAGGUCUGCUGAACUUUCUUCGGAGAUCGACAUCUUAAAUGAAAAAAUCAUUGCUCAGGGGGUUUCAACACAGACUGUCGUUGUGAGAUAAUAAGUAUAGAUAAUAGCGGUUUAAUGCAGGAGAUUUUCGAGCGUCAGAAGCGCAUGAACAACGUCAUGCUGUACAAUAUGGAGCUAUUGCCUGAUAUUCCUGAAGCUACACAGGUAUCCAAUAUUCUGCAAACGGUGACCGGUAAGCAGGUGCAAGUUAACGAUGUUGUUAAAUUAGGAAGGCCCAAUCGUAAUGGUCGCAAGUCCAGCAAGCUUGUUUUGUCAAAUCACACUGAUGUGGCAAAUGUAUUAAAACUCCGCUCUAAGUUUAUUUCCUCCAAAAGAAUUUACGUUGAAGCUGACCUGAGUUCCGGUCAGAGGGAAGACCUGCAGAGAGUGAAGGAUGAUCUGGAGCGUCGUCGAUCCAAUGGUGAGGCAAACCUAGUGAUAAAGUUCGAACGUGGUAAACCUUUUAUUGCCUCAAAAAACUAAAGGAUGUCGCCUCUAGGCACCUAUCCCUCUGCUGUCAGAAUGUAAGAGACUUACGUACUAAAACUGAUCGUUUUUUCUCUUCUGUCAGUGUGUGCGGCUUCGACAUUAUCACUAUUACCGAAACGUGGCUCCAAUCUGAUAUUUUCGAUGCCGAAUUAUUUCCUGAAUCAUUUAUUGUGUUCAGAUCUGACAGACAGCUGGAUAGAGUGGCUACAACCCGUCGUGGUGGAGUCCUGGUGGCAGUCCGCAGCAAGAUGGAGCCGGAACGUAUUAAUCUAGUCGACAUAACUGAUACUACGCCUGUGAUUGACCUAGUAGGCUGUAAGAUAACUUUUACUGGUUAUGAUACAGCGCAGAUCGGCCAGCAUGGCAAGAUGCUGCGCUAUGAGCCUAAUCCAGAAAGUGCCUGACAAUGUUGGUGGCGCCCAGCACAACAGACUUCUGCAUUUUAUGGUAUCAGACCCAUCGUGGAUAAGAUCACGGGUACGAUGAAGACCGAUUCCAUCCGCCACAUAGCUUUAACUUCUCUACGGAGCUCAGCAUACUUGGUAAGUUUCUCAGUGUAUUUCUGUUUUAGGUUGUGGUUGUUCGGUACUGAUAUAUCUAUCAAAAACGCUUUUUUCUCUUGCUUUAGAAUAACUGUUAUAUCUGGUCUGUUAUGCUCCAUGCGUUUGUCCGUGAUUAUAUCUUUGUCCCAAUAUAUUUUUGCUAUAUCGUUCUCAACCACCGGCACGGGGACAUAUUUAUAAUAAGGGUUUUCGUUCACAGGCUUUAGAUUAUAUAGUUUGAGCAAUUCAAGGUAUACAAUAGUUGCCACCCUAUUAUGCCUUUCAAGGUACUUCGUAUGAGCCAGUACAGAGCAUCCCGACAAUAUGUGCUCUACAGUUUCAGUACAUUCAUUGCAGCGCCUGCAGAGGUCGUUGGA
rnacentral:lncRNA from 1 species